CGCCCGCCCUUUGUCCCCCGCGGCCGCCGCCCGCCGCCGCCGAAGCCGCUUUCUCUGUCUCGCUCCUUCCUCCGCCCCCCGACCACACCCCCUUAAAGGCCCAGCCUGCUCGGGCCCCUCAUUCUCACCCCGCCUCUGAGGAGGGACUGAGGAGGGCCUAGUGAGAAGAGACACGUGCACGCAGCUCCGCGGAGGGGCAGUGGAAAGAGAGGAGGAAUUGCCCUGUUGCCCGACGACCUACUUGGCGAGAUCCCACACUCAUCAUGAAGUCCCGCGUGGGGGUGAGCCUCCCCCCAACCCCUUGAAGGGCCAGCCCAAGGCAGCCACCGCCCACCGGCCGAGAUGGCGGCAGGGGCGGCAUUGUGGGAAAUGUAGUUCGUGGCCAGGCCCCGCGUGGCCACCCUGCACCCGGUGGAGCCCAGGGAGCACACUUGUGUGAGGGCUCCCCUUCCCCAGCCGGCUUGGCCGCGCCCCGAAACCAGAGCGCGAACCGGGGAGGGAACUCCGACGCUAAGAACUGGCGAGUCUGGGCGCCCGGACUCAGGAUAAUGAAGGUAAUACUAGCAUCUGGCUUCAGAAUGCCUGUUUACCGGGACCCCCACGCAGUGGGUCCUGAAGCAGGGGAUGCAACCUAUUCCCUCCCCUUUUGAUUGUCUGCAUCUUUUAAGCGUCUCAUUCAUUUCUUCAUUGUGCCUCCCACUUCUGGGUGGUGAGCUGAUGGAGGAGAGCUGUGUGGACUUUGUUUGCUGACGCCCAGGCUUUGAUCUGCCGGCUCCUCUUCAAACCCUGGAAUGUGAGGAAAUUACCUGGGCCCUGCAGAAACGCAACACCUAGAGCUGUCAGAUUGUUAGCAGGCGCUCCACGCUCUUGAAAUAAAUGAGUGAAAGAAUGAA